AGCGGUGGACGGGUGAGUAACACGUAGGUAACCUACCUAUAAGACUGGGAUAACUUCGGGAAACCGGAGCUAAUACCGGAUAAUAUUUCGAACCGCAUGGUUCGAUAGUGAAAGAUGGCUUUGCUAUCACUUAUAGAUGGACCUGCGCCGUAUUAGCUAGUUGGUAAGGUAACGGCUUACCAAGGCAACGAUACGUAGCCGACCUGAGAGGGUGAUCGGCCACACUGGAACUGAGACACGGUCCAGACUCCUACGGGAGGCAGCAGUGGGGAAUAUUGGACAAUGGGCGCAAGCCUGAUCCAGCCAUGCCGCGUGAGUGAUGAAGGCCUUAGGGUUGUAAAGCUCUUUCAGUGGGGAAGAUAAUGACGGUACCCAGUAAAGAAGCCCCGGCUAACUCCGUGCCAGCAGCCGCGGUAAUACGGAGGGAGCUAGCGUUGUUCGGAAUUACUGGGCGUAAAGCGCACGUAGGCGG
rnacentral:rRNA from 1 species